rnacentral:rRNA from 1 species
CCUACGGGAGGCAGUAGUGAGGAAUAUUGGUCAAUGGACGAGAGUCUGAACCAGCCAAGUAGCGUGAAGGAUGACUGCCCUAUGGGUUGUAAACUUCUUUUAUAAAGGAAUAAAACGAGGCACGUGUGCCUUUUUGCAUGUACUUUAUGAAUAAGGAUCGGCUAACUCCGUGCCAGCAGCCGCGGUAAUACGGAGGAUCCGAGCGUUAUCCGGAUUUAUUGGGUUUAAAGGGAGCGUAGAUGGGUUGUUAAGUCAGUUGUGAAAGUUUGCGGCUCAACCGUAAAAUUGCAAUUGAUACUGGCAGUCUUGAGUACAGUUGAGGUAGGCGGAAUGCGUGGUGUAGCGGUGAAAUGCUUAGAGAUCACGAAGAACCCCGAUUGCGAAGGCAGCUUACUAAACUGUGACUGACAUUGAUGCUCGAAAGUGUGGGUAGCAAACAGGAUUAGAUACCCGUGUAGUC